rnacentral:lncRNA from 1 species
UUAAAAUAAAUAAAGCAUUUAGCAUUUAGAUUACUAUGUGAUGGGUCAACUUAGAGUUUUAUAUUCGCUGUGUUCUGAUUAUUCAUUAAGAUAGAAUGGCUGUGACAAUUAGUUUGUUCACCCCAUACAAUUGUACUACUGUUCUUAAGGCCCUUACAUGGUGGAUCAGGCAGUAAAGACAAGCAGUAUCUGUUGCUUCCAUAACAUUUCCAUGUAGCCAACUUUGCUAAUUGCAUGAAACAAAUUUACAUGGUUAGGCUAUUUCUCAUAAAUGCUCAACGUAUACUUGUCCCUCAGCUGUCCUCUUACACUGAUAGUGUCUUACUCUAAAGAUUCUAAAAUAUCCCCAAACAAUCUGCUUAAUAACUACAAGGAGGUUGUUGAAACUUACAGACAACUUCUAGGUUUACACCAGCAGCUGAAUACAUUUAUUGCAUGUCCAGCUUAAGGAAGCAUUUAUAAAUUGAAAUCUUUAAUGAGUUUCCUAACUUAGGCGGGAGAAGAAGAUGCAAUCAAGAUGUAUUUUUCCUGUGAAAAGUAGGAGAUAGUUGAACAGUAUUAGAAGUUGAACAGCUGGUCACUGUUUAUGAAAACAGCUAGGCUCUUAUCCAUAAGACAGGAAAGAGAGUCAAAAGCCAAAGUCUCCUUUUAAGAUACAGCUGGAAAGUUUUCAGAGUUCAAGGAAAAUUUUAAACCUAGGGUAGAUAUGCCUUUUUUUCCCUCUUGUAGUAAUAGUAAAAAGAAGAGUAAACCAAAAAAUCUCAAGAGUAAAAAUACCUUUAUCAAUUCAACAAUUGAUAUUCUACCAAACACAUAUAUUACUUUUGGGAAAAAAAAUUGCAAACUUUUACCGCAAGUAAGAACAGGUCAGUGAUGCAGACACUUUAUAAAAAUAAGAGGAAAAUGCAUUAAAUGUAAAGUGGAUAAAAAAGUAUAAAACAAGAAAUAUAGCUAAGCAUGACUUUCAAUUUCUCUUAUGGUCUCCUUAAUGACUGAAAAUAAAUUAGAAACUUUAGCAGGAAGUACUUUUUUCAAGGUAGAAUGAACAGCUUUCUAGAUCAGCUAUCUGUUAUCUAGUAGAUUCACUGAGUUUUAUGGCCAAAGGGACUUAGAAAAGGAGCUCUGGAUAGAAAAAUUAGGAGGAAGUAGAUUGAAUGAUUUAUUUCUAUAUUAUUUUAUUGAUAAGUUUAAUCGUGAUUCUUUCUGUGGCAAACAUUUGUCCACUGUCAGAGAAGGAUUAACCUAUGUAAAACAGUUGAAAUCAGAUUUAGAGGCCAUUUUGAGUAAGUAAGAAAAAAAAAUAAGGAAUUAAAUACAACAUCAUCCUACAAAUAAACUUCACUCCACUAGGCAGUUGUAUUCUGGAAGUAUCAUAUUACUGUAUUUUAACAGGUGACGUGAGACUUGCAAAAAAAUACCUGGUCCCCCAACAGAUAAAUAUGAAUUUGUUCAGAGCUAUGUCCAUACAUAAUAACUGGAAGUGCUCCAUUGGAUUCUUUUAUUUUUCUUUAGGUUGCUACUAAGUUCUGAUAAAACAAUUGAUUAUUAUUUUGGACAAGGGAAUUUAAAUUAUGCAUGGAAACAUAAAUAUAUGUAAGUUUUACAGAGAAGAUAAUACUAUGAAUUUAGUGCGUUUGAAUUCAAAAGAAAAGAUAUCAAAUUAAAACGCAGCAUGAGUUAAACCAUGGUUUUAAAAGCUUGCACACACAUCUAGGUUUUCAAAUAAAUCAGAUUAAAUUAGCUGUUAUUUUAUUCUCUUCUUUAGCUGCUUUUGAAAUAUGUGGCAGGAUUCGUCAUUUGACUUAAAAAAUGAAUGUAGUUGCUUAUUUCCUUUUCAGCUUUUUUUCAUUACUGUAAAAACAAAGUUUUAGCAGUCCAUGUCUGCUCUCAUUUCAUCAAGAACCAGUAAAAAUUAAAUUUAAAAAACACUUUGAGAGCUUGCCCUAAAGUUAGCAGCAAUAAAGCAUAUGCUGGUCUGCAUAUAGUUUUAGUUUUCAUUCCCUUCAAACUUUUGUACUCUUCUCAAAGCUUUGACUGCUAUUUUCUUUCCAUGAUUAGAUUGUUAUGGCCACACCAUCUACCUGAAGAGAAUUAUGAUACUGGUUUGGAACAAAACUCUCCUUUUUUUGGAAAGUGCAGUUUUGACUUACAGUCUUCUUUGUCUGAUGAUCAGAAUUUAUGGAGGCCUGAAGUUCCUGGCUCUCUCCGACAUAACUUGCAUUAUUUGAUCUAACCACAGUACCCCAAAGCUGAAAAAAAAUCAGUCAGGACAAAUGAGUUAAAAGAAGCAGGCCAGUCUCACAGCUUGAAGUUUUCCAUAUGAAUGCAAAAAUCAGUUUGUCUGAUGAUAACAUUUACUUACUGCUUCACUGACAUAAGAACCAGCCCUCGAGAAGAAUAUACAGAGGAGUAGUUGCCAGCAACCUUCCUGCCAACUUGGCCCAAGGUAGGUUACUUUAGGUACACUAGAAAACCAAUUUCUCUGCAGUUUUUCAUCCUUAUCAAACUCACCUAAAGUCUAAAGAAAAACUCUUUCUGAUUAUAGAUAUUUGUUUCAAUCAGUUUUAUAGGAACGGCAGUCUCUGCUCAUCUCUCCUUCCUGAAAUUCUAGAACUCUUUAAACACAAUUGCCACAAAAUUGCCAUGGAAGGAAACCUUUCAUCACUUUUUAAAUUAUUGUCUCCAUUUUUCAAUUCUUUGGAUGUUAAAAAUUGGGAUAUAAUUUGCAUACCAUGAUAUUCACUGUUUUAAAGUGUACAUGUCAGUGGUUUUUAGCUUUUAUUCACAGAGUUGUGCAACCAUUAUCAUUAUCUCAUUCCAGAACAUGUUCGUCACCCAGAAAAGAAACCCCAUACCCGUUAGCCAUCACUUCCCAUUCUUCCCUCUUUCUAGCUCCUGGCAACUC